ACAUACGACCAUAGAUUGAGGAGAAUUGGGCAUCCCGUCCGCUCUGCAUACACAAGCCUCAAUCGGCAGUCUAGUAGUUGGUGGGUGACCACCAGCGAAUCCCUGCUGUUGUAUGUU
rnacentral:rRNA from 1 species